GAGUUCGCGGGAGAGUAAGUUAUUGCCAGGGUUUUUAUUUUUAUACUUUAAACUUUGAUUUUAUUUUUAUGUUUUUUAAAUAUUGGUGUUUUUGAAUGUGUUGUUUAAAUAACAUAAAAAAUAAAAUAUAUAUUGACAUGUAUUAAACAAAGAUAUAUAUUAUUUUAUGUUGUAUAAAUAAAUUGGCAAAAUAGAGAUGGAAGAUAAAAAUAUGGUCAAAGUAAUAAGAGUCUAUGGUGAAUGCC
rnacentral:misc_RNA from 1 species